AUUAAACGCUGGCGGCAUGCCUUACACAUGCAAGUCGAACGGCAGCACGGGGGCAACCCUGGUGGCGAGUGGCGGACGGGUGAGUAACACAUCGGAACGUGCCCUGGAGUGGGGGAUAACGCAGCGAAAGCUACGCUAAUACCGCAUAUUCUGUGAGCAGGAAAGCAGGGGAUCGCAAGACCUUGCGCUGAUUGAGCGGCCGAUAUCAGAUUAGCUAGUUGGUGAGGUAAAGGCUCACCAAGGCGACGAUCUGUAGCGGGUCUGAGAGGAUGAUCCGCCACACUGGAACUGAGACACGGUCCAGACUCCUACGGGAGGCAGCAGUGGGGAAUUUUGGACAAUGGGCGCAAGCCUGAUCCAGCCAUGCCGCGUGAGUGAAGAAGGCCUCGGUUGUAAG
rnacentral:rRNA from 1 species